rnacentral:misc_RNA from 1 species
AAUAAGUGUUUUAUGGCACUUUUUAAAUCCAUAUCCACCUUGUGUGCAAUGUCAGUCGAUCUUCUUCAUGGAGAUCGACCAAACAUCAACCUUUAUUUUUUAACUCUUUGUCUGAAAAAUAUUAUGAAUAAAACAAUACAACUUUCAACAACGGAUCUCUUGGCUCU